AAUAUUGUUUUUGUGUGUGUAUGUGCGUGUAGACGAGCCAAGCUGGAGCGAGAAGGAGGGAGGGAGUCUCUGACAACACGUGGAGCGCGCUGUCAGCAGCCGGCACCGGCCCUAUCUGCAGUAAAUCGCCUCGAGAGAUCCUGGAUCUCUUCGGGCCCCAGCUGAGUCAUCGCCAGAAGCUCGAGCUGGCGGCCAUGAAACAAGUAUGGUUCUUCACUGUGGACAAGGUCGGCAAACCCCGGGGCGGCAACAACAACGACAGCUACGACGACGAAAACAACAACUACAUCCCUGUGAGGCUCACAGAGAUACAGAGAUACCCAUAGAGACCCACAGA